rnacentral:rRNA from 1 species
UUUCUAGGGAAGAAUUAUGAUAAAAAACAUUGUCUGCCUACGUGUAUUGACCCAAAAUACGUGCCAGCAGUCGCGGUAAUUACGUAGAAGACUAGUGUUUUUUCUUUGUUUUAUCGGUUUAAAGGGUACCUAGACGGUGAAUCAAGCUUUAGAAUAAAGAAGAAAAGGAACUAAUUCGCUAGAGUUACUUACGAGGGGGUAGUAAAGUACUGCUGGUGUAGAGAUGAAAUUCUGUCAUACCUCUUUUCGAAAGAAAAAUUAUGGCACAGGUAUAGGCGAAGGCAUCCCCUUAUGUGAUAACUGACGUUGAGGGACGAAGGCUUCGUGGAACAAACAGGAUUAGAUACCCUAGUAGUUGAAGCAGAAAAUGAUGAAUGUCAUAGAUUAGACGUCUAAGUUUAUUCUAUAAAUGAAAGUGUAAGCAUUCCACCUCAUGAGUAAUUUGGCAACAUUGGAAUUGAAAUCAUUAGACCGUUUCUGAAACCAGUAGUGAAGUAUGUUGUUUAAUUUGAUAAUACGCAAAAAACCUUACCACAAUUUGAAUAUUUAUAUUGUUUAUUGUUAUCUUAUUAAUUUUCUUAAAAAAAUAAUUAUAGCAAAAGCAUUUUAAAACAGGAAAGAAAAUAAUCAAGAGGCAAUAACAUAGUAUAC